rnacentral:snRNA from 2 species
UAACUGUGGUUUCCCUUCAGAAUUCGGAUAAAUCUUUCGCCUUUUACUAAAGAUUUCCGUGGAGGGGAACAAUUGAUCAGUCUAUAUAAAUUUUUUAUAGUACCUUGACUUUCGUCGAGGU